UACUAGAACUUAGGAAAACGAAACUAAUUCAUGUCUAUCUUCAACUGAAUUUUGUAAUAAAAAUUGUAUCUGGUUAAACAUUUGAUCGAUAUAUGGCAAAUAUUGAAUAAAUAAUAGAUUCACUCGAACUUUAUUUCCACUUUAUAUUUGCCAAAAGUUUUUAUUUUCUCUUUAGGGGUUGAGGCGAUAUGUGUAAAAAAAAUUACAAACUAAAACUAAAAGCAAUUGUUACGCUAAAAACAAGAAACGUUUUUAAAUAUAUCUAACGUUCUUCGUUUUAAAUUAGUUUCAUAAAUGAAUCUAAUUUGGGAUGAGGAUAAGUCAAUGAGCCUAUUAAAUGUAUUGAGAGAAUAAUUUAUUUAAAAACCAACAAGAAAGAAAAGAAUUGACAAAAAUACAAUGAGUAUAACUAAAAUUAUAAAUCUUACUUAAAGAAUAACGAUUAUACUGGUGAUGUGAUAGUCAACUGCUUGUUUAUUUAUUUAUUUUUAAAAAAUAUUCCCUUCUCUGAAAGGACCCCUAUGAAAACCAGGAUGGAGUUGUGUACGCAGAUGGAUUGGAUAUAUGAUUCGUUUUCUAUUAAUCCUGUCACCCACCAACAAAAAGGGCAUUUUCUAACAGCCAUUCCAGCAACCGCUAUUAA